AAUAAAGCAGGAUAGAAUAAUGAGAGCGCUCUGAAGCGCUUGUGCUGAACCACUACUAUAGAUAUGAAACGCAGAGCAUGACACACUUCUGUGUACCGAUAAGAAGCAGUUUGAGGCAAUUCAAACAGGCUUUGUUUUAGGGUCUUGGAAAAUGUGCAGACAAACCUUGAACAGAAGAACAUGUUUGUGUCUCUGUAAGCAGAUAAAAAUUCUGUACUGAUCUCAGUGACAUGACAUGGCCUUCUUAGGUGUUAUCCUAUCCUCAGAUGAACAUAAAAACAACAAGAACAAAACUAUUUCAAAUUUGGAGAAGACCCACAUAUGAUGGUGAUGGCCAUCGUGUAUUUCCACUGGGAAAUUUGAAUACAUGUUAAUCUUUGUACAUCUUCUGUUGCACUCAAAAUCAAACGAAAGCAUUUUAGCUUUAUUUCAAUGCUGCUUUAUCCCUGUGCACUAGCUUAUAUUUAUAUGUUUUUUGAUGAUUUUACUGGUACAUGUUCAUUUAAGUUAAUUUAAUACAGGCGAGUACAGGAGUGCGUCCGGCGCAUGCGCAGUGCCCCACACCCGCCCUGUUAUAUUUGGCUAGUCAGUGCUGUUUAGUUAUGUCGGUUAAGGUAGCUGUACCUUUUCCGCUUUGAGACUUUUUAAAAAAAUGUCAGUGUCUGAGGACAGCGUAUCGUGUCCGACUGAAAACAGUGUCACUGUUCAUUUAGACUCGGCCUCUGUCUCAGACGCCGAAACAGUGCUAAAAAAUCCUAAUGUCCAUAGUUGUCAUGUUGAAGAAGAAACCGAGAAUGACAGUGAGCUUCUUAAAGGCUUGCUAACCGACACCUUCUGUCAGGUGUGUGAGGCGGUGUUGAUGUUUGAGUCUCAGAGAGUCUCUCAUUAUGAGGGGAAGAAGCAUGCUCAGCGCGUUCGAAUCUACCUGCAGAACAAGAAAGCUGAAAGGAACAAGCAGAGCAGCUUUCAGAGUGUUAGUGCGGAUCCGGAGAAGUUCUGCGAGCUGUGCAAUAUGGUGUUUAGCUCGCCUGUGGUCGCCAAGUCUCACUAUGAGGGAAAAGUCCAUGCCAAGAACACAAGGAAGUCCAGCGCCACAUCCUCUGUAGAUGCCAGGACCACGGUGAGUUCAGCGGCUCCUCCUGUAACUGCCGUGGAGGACGCAGCAGAGGCGAGCGCAUGGGACGACAUGGUUCAGGAACAGAAGGAAAGCACAGUGUGUGCUGCCCAGGGGGUCGACCUGAGUGACCCAGACAAGUACUGCAAGUUAUGCGCGGCUUCGUUUAACAACCCGAUGAUGGCCGCUGAACACUACAGCGGUCGCAAGCAUCAGCGUAACCUGGCCCGCCAGGAGCUGCACAAUAAGCUGGGAGAACUGUCUGAGCAAGCAACCUCCCUCACAUGUCCAAUCUGCGAUGUGACUCUCAGCUCCAUGGACACAUACCAGGCUCACAUGAAAGGCAAUAAACACCAGAUAAAAGAAAAGAAGACGCAAGACGAUUUAUGCAAAAAGAAGGUGUACGACUCGUUCCAGGACGAGCUGGCCGACUACAUCCAGGUGCAGAGGUCUCGGGGACUGGAGCCCAAAACGGGUCAGGGAUCUGAAAAUCAGGGACCGAGGAAAGCAGAGAGUGUAGUAGACGAGAGCGGAGAGUGUUGUGACCAGCCCCAGAUUCUGUCUCUCCAAUCCCGUCUUCCUGCCCCUGCCUUCCGAACGCAGCCCUGGCGCCCACCGUUUCAUCCUCACCCCAAUCCUGUCGCUUUCAGAGGGCGAUUCCCAGUGCCGAACCAAUGGGAUCAGGGUUACUCAUCCUACCCUCCUCCCCUCAUCCCUGGGCUAACAGGAAGAGCAUUACAUAGAGGGAGGAGCCCAGAAUCUUUUAGCUCCUCGUCUUCGUUCUCAGACUCCUCGUCUUCGUAUAGUAGCAGCAGCAGCGAGGACAGCAGAGACAGACGGAGGAGGAGGAGGAAAAAGAGACGAGAAGGAACAAAGAAAAGAAGAGAAGAAGAUGGUGAUUCAGAAGGGGACGUGCAGAGAAGGAGCAGAGAGAGGAGAAGGAAGGACGAUGGCAGUGCAAAGAAACCAAAACGACACAGAGGAAGCUCUGAUGAAGAUCACGGAAAGAGAUGGAAGGAGAAAAAGCACAGAGAAAGAGUUACCAAGAAGAGACGGAGAGAAGAGGACGAAGGAGAUUGGACCAGAGUGUCUCAUGUAGCGAUGACGAAAGGUGAGGGAGAAGGAGAAGCACAGAGUGAAGGACUUAAAGAGGAGAAAGCGAAGCACAAAAAAGAGAAAAAGAAACCGAAGGACAGAGAGGACAACCGGACAGAAGAGGAAAAGCUGUGGGACGAAACCAUUGUGGGGAUAUUCUGAUAGACGAUGAUUGUGAACACUCAUUCAUCCUACGUGGAAAGCGCAUGGAACCACACCUAAUCGGCCCUGGACAUAAGGAAGGGAAGAGAGAAGUCAGCACUCACUCAAAAAGAGUUGCAGGACGACCUGAAAGCAGCAGGAACAGCAUUUACACAGAAACCAAUAAGCAAUGAAGUGUAGUACAAUCACCUCUGUUCGUAAUCCUCAUGCAAAUCCCCGAUGCGAAAAAGAAAAAGCACAGAGAUGUGCAUCUAUAAGCAUUUAGACGAAUCAGAGCUCUUGGAACGAUAUACUCUGGUCAGAUGAAAUAAAAACAGAACUCUCUGACAGUAAUUGAAGAUGAUUUUCCAGGAGGACCGAGCUAAAAUUGAACCGCAAUACUUACCAUGCUUACCAUAGACGCCUUGAAGCUGUAACAAUGGCUUGAACAAUGGCUUUGCAACAAAGUAUUAAUGCUGAUUCUGGAAAAGGUUCAGAAGUGGAUGAAUCAGUAGCCUGGGACAAGCAGAUUUAUUAUGCUCAGCGGGUUAACAGACACAAGUAUUUUUUCUUCUCUUAUUUGUUAACGAAAGAAAGAAGCAUCUCUACUCGCUAUUGACUUGCAAAAGUUCUGGGACGUAUAUUUAAAUUGUGCUUGAUGUGACACACCUCGAUGGUCUAACUCAGCAGUUCUCAAACUUUUUUUUUGGCAGCUUUUGCAUUAGUAUUAAAUUCAUUUUUGUGAUAUGUAAUCCUAGUUAAGUCCAUUUCAGUUACAGGUUGUAACACUACAAAAUGUGGAAAACGUCAUGGGGGUGAAUACUUACGCACAGCAGUGUUGUACUCUCAAGACGGGUGCAGUAACACAAAAUCUGACUCAGGGAGGCGCAGUUCGACUGCAAGAGUGUGUCCUGUUUGUCUCUGUGAGGAAAAACUAACGUUUGCUGUGAUGUAUAUGCAACAGAGUAAGUAUUUGUAUGAUUUGAUGUAGACGAGACCUUUUUUCCCCAAAUUUGUAUGCGAGUUGCCUGCUUAGGAUUUAUUACAUGCUCAUUAUUAUACAAGUUCUAUAUUAAUGUCUGAAGCUCUGCUGUUAGGAUAGUGUGUGUGCUUGAAUAUAUUUUUGUCUUGUAUGACAGGUGUGUUUAGGGCAAAUGAGGACACUUGGCUUUUACAGCUCACACCUGGCUCUCAGGUUAGACCUCAUUUGCCCCGAAUGAAAGGAUGAAGUACUGAAAUAUAGUACAUAGCCAAAAAAAAAAAAAUUUAAAAAAAAUGCUAUAUUAACACAGUGGAUAUUUAAAAAAAAAAAAAAAAAAAAGUCAUCGAAAUUGCAGGUUUUUAUGAUGUAAAGUCAAAAAUCAAGACAAAUCAUAUCUAAAAUUGUUCAUAUUUAACGUGAUCUUGAAACGAAUUGAUAAUUAUCAGAGGAAAAAAAAAAUUCUCUGACACUUCUCAGCCCACUUUGCUGUCAGAACAGCCUUAAUUCUUCAUGGUAUAAAUGCCACAAGGUGCUGGACAUAUUCCUUUGAGAUUCUGGUCCACAUUGAUAUGAUAUUGAUAUUGCAUCAGAUAAUUGCUGCAGAUGUGUCACUUGUGUGGCUUGUGUUCUACCACAUCCCAAAAGAUUUAGAUCUGAACCUGGGGAGACCUCUGAACUCAUGGUCAUGCUCAUGGAGCCAGUUGUGCAUUCUGAGAUGCUUUUCUGCUCACCAUGGAUGUAAGGAGUGGUUGUUUGAGUAACCAUAGUCUUCCUGUCAGCUCUAUUCUGACCUCUCUCAUCAACAAGGCAUUGCCACCUGUAGAACCACCGCUUAUUGGAUGUUUUUUUGCACCAUCCUAUGUAAACUCUAGAGAUUGUUUUGUGUGAAAUCAUGCCAUGGUCAGUCACUGAGAUUCCAUUUUUCCCCAUUCUGAUGUUUGAUGUAAACAUUAACUGAAGCCUUUGAUUUGUAUCUGCAUGAUUUUAUGCACUGUACAGCUGUCAUAUGAUUGGCUGAUUGGAUAAUUACAUAACUGUGCAGGUAUAAAGUGAUGGAUAUAAACCUAUGUGGAUGUUGAGCAUGUAUGUGGAAAUAAUUUGAUCCUAUAAGCUGAGACACUAAUGCACUAUAUGUUUGAAGAUUAAAAAAAAAAUUCUUAAAUUAAUUUUCCCAAUAUAGCACCUUUAAUGUGACAUUAGUGGGGGUUUUUUUCUUCUGUUUUUUUUUUCUCUUGAAUUUUAUUCAUUUUAAGGUCACAUUAAAGACAUGGUUUAUCUUGGCUUUCUAUUACAAAACCCUGUAAUAGAAGUUUCAAUAACUUUUUAGCCACUGUGCUUCUUGAUAUGAAUUAAAUGAAAGAUAUUCGUGUUUUAGGAUGCUUUAGGACAGGAUAUGUGGGAGAUAAUCAAAAUACUGAUUCUAUAGUUCAUAAUACUGCUUCUCUAAACAUUCUCUUAAGUUUCUAGAGUCGUAUUUUCCAGAUGUUUGAGCUCUUUCGUAUGAAAACCUUGAAGCCAAAAGCGUACAACCAUCACCAGCACGUUCAGCGAGACUCUGAAGCCCCCUGAGAUCUCCUGUUUUCAAAGAAUCAUGUGGUUACGUUCCCAGUGUCUCAGUCGCACCUUCGACCCUCUGAACACGCGUGCUUCGCCCACAUCCUCCCCCCUGUACGACCCUCCCGUAAGCUCACAAGCCUCUGAAGACCUCCGACUGAGGGUUGGGGGGGGUGUUGAGAACUUAAAGCCUGCAGCCCAAACUCCUACAUGAAGCCUCUUACCUCUUACAUACCUUAGAAUGUAGCAGCUGAACCUUUACAGCAUUUAACCUUUUCUCCAUUUCUGUGUUAAAAAUGUUUUUUUUUUUAUGUCUGUUUGUUAAAUAAAAGUACUCAGUUUUUUUUAUACAGGUUUUAAAACAUGCAAUUCUACUCUUUUAAUGCACAAGUAAAUGUAUAUAUAUAAACAGUUUUCAUGACCGUAACGUAAUAUAAUGUAUAAUAUAGAGCUAGACAAUAUAUCAAAAAUACUUAAAAAAUUAAAUGAAUGUAGAAAAAAAAAAAGUUAGAUGUUGUUUGUAUUUAUUGUAUAAAAAAAAAAUGACAAAACCUAAAGGAAAAACAAGAAAUUCUACAAUUUUGAAGAAUCAGUACCAAAUUUUAGCUGCUUCCAAUAAAUUAAAAAAAAAAAAUAAUAAUAAUAAAAAAUACCUACACAAUAUCUCAGAAAAUUGAGAUAUUCAGACAUAAUUUAUCAUAAUAUCAAUAUUACAUAGUCAUAUCGCCCAGGCUCUAUAGAUGGAAAUUUUUCUUUGUUUAAAUGUGCUA